AUGGCAACAAAUGAUCCUUUUUGUGUGAUGCAGAAGAAGAAGCGUCGGUGCAAAAGGGCUUUGCAAGAACGCCUGACUAUACUGACAGAGGGAUUUACUGAUGAGCAGAAGGCAGCUGCUGGUGAGAUGGGUAUGCAGGCUCUGAUGAAGGUUCGGUGCACGAACCUAGUAAACCCUGUAUGCGACUGGCUCGGUGAAAUAUAUGAGCCUGUGUCUAGGGAAUUCAUGAUUCCGGGGCGUGGAAGACUUCCUUUGAAUGAGGAAUCUGUGUUCUGGACAUUGGGUGUCCCCUGUGGAGAAAUCAAAGUCCCUUAUGAGGUGAACAAUAAGAUCAAGGAAGCUUUGUUCGCUCGUUUGUUUCCUCGAAUGGCAUCCAUGCCUAAUACGAAUGUACUGGCAACUUCGUUGGAGGGGAUGACAAUCCAUGUCGAGGUUUUUAAGAUGAAGUUGCUCAUGUACUUGAUCUCGGCUGUAUUUGCGCCUACCACAUCUCUUCGCCCAAGCGACAUGUGCUUCCCUAUCCUGGCGAAGCUGAAAGAUGUUAAAAACAUGAAUUGGUGUAAAUUCAUUGCCGACUUCCUGCAUGAUGCAUUCUCAAAUAAGAUGUACCAAAAGGGAUGUCGCUUGCAUCUAAUGAUAGGAGGCCAGCCGCCUCCACAUAAGUUUGUUGUCUCUGCAUGGACGUAUGAUGUUGUCAAGGCUGUACUUGCUGCAGACAGGAUAUCUGAUACAAAAUAUGGGAAACUGCAGCUAAUGGCCAAGCAUGCUAUAGACUACAAUAUGUUUGGUGGGCCACAAAACUUUGGCAAGUGGAUGGAUGUGCAUUCAGCUCCAUCUUGUCCCGCUGAGGCGAGGGCACAUGUUGAGCACUUAGUUGGGCAGUUCGCUUCCGGCAUGAUCAGUUUGCUUGGGAAGUUGAUCGUGGGUUGGACAACACUUAAUGGUUCUAAUAGCGACGCGGUUGCGAAGCACUUCGCAUCAUUUAUUGGAGACGGACACAUUGUCCAACUGGUUGUCGUGGCCGAUGGUGAUGGUUUUGAUGGCAUGGAUGCUGGUCUCGACAAGGACAAUGACGAUGACAUGGAGAAUGUGCCGCAUGAAAGUGACCAUGAUGAACAUCACGAAGAUCGUGUAGGAGGCAAGAACAAUAAGGCUGCACCGAAAGUUCCUCUAUCGGAGGGAGGCAUUGAUUCAAAUGUUGCGAGAGACACGGGGGUUUCGCUCUCAAAGAGGGGCAGGGCUCCAGAGGAUGCUGGCCAAGGCAAUGUUGGGAAGAGGUGUAGGACUGAUCGCGUAGCUGCUAGGAGGAGUGAGGCGACAGCUGGUGGACGAUCAGUUAAGCAAAAACAAGCACCUAUGCCAACCCGUGUUUCUGCCCGGUUGAACAAGGGGGCUCCUGCUGCUGGUGCCACCACCUCCACUAGGUCGUCUCCUCGCACAUCAACGUCCAACACCGGGGAUCCUGUCGUGCUGGAAGACUUGAGGAAGACAACCAAGAAGUGGGUUCUCCCUGUCUAUUUUAUCUACCUUUUUUUGUGA
rnacentral:rRNA from 1 species